rnacentral:rRNA from 1 species
AUUGAACGCUGGCGGCAGGCUUAACACAUGCAAGUCGAACGAUGAAACUCUAGCUUGCUAGAGAUGAUUAGUGGCGGACGGGUGAGUAACAUUUAGGAAUCUGCCUAGUAGUGGGGGAUAGCUCGGGGAAACUCGAAUUAAUACCGCAUACGACCUACGGGUGAAAGGGGGCGCAAGCUCUUGCUAUUAGAUGAGCCUAAAUCAGAUUAGCUAGUUGGUGGGGUAAAGGCCCGCCAAGGCGACGAUCUGUAACUGGUCUGAGAGGAUGAUCAGUCACACCGGAACUGAGACACGGUCCGGACUCCUACGGGAGGCAGCAGUGGGGAAUAUUGGACAAUGGGGGCAACCCUGAUCCAGCCAUGCCGCGUGUGUGAAGAAGGCCUUUUGGUUGUAAAGCACUUUAAGCAGGGAGGAGAGGCUAAUGGUUAAUACCCAUUAGAUUAGACGUUACCUGCAGAAUAAGCACCGGCUAACUCUGUG